GUUCCCGUGGCGCUGUGGGUCAGUGCAUCUGGCUAUUAACCAGAAUGUUGGUUGCUUGAGCCCACCCAGGGAUG